rnacentral:rRNA from 1 species
UUAAGCGACUAAGCGUACACGGUGGAUGCCCUGGCAGUCAGAGGCGAUGAAGGACGUGCUAAUCUGCGAAAAGCGUCGGUAAGGUGAUAUGAACCGUUAUAACCGGCGAUGUCCGAAUGGGGAAACCCAGUGUGAUUCGUCACACUAUCGUUAACUGAAUACAUAGGUUAACGAGGCGAACCGGGGGAACUGAAACAUCUAAGUACCCCGAGGAAAAGAAAUCAACCGAGAUUCCCCCAGUAGCGGCGAGCGAACGGGGAGCAGCCCAGAGUCUGAAUCAGCUUGUGUGUUAGUGGAACGGUCUGGAAAGUCCGACGGUACAGGGUGAUAGUCCCGUACACCAAAAUGCACAGGCUGUGAACUCAAAGAGUAGGGCGGGACACGUGGUAUCCUGUCUGAAUAUGGGGGGACCAUCCUCCAAGGCUAAAUACUCCUGACUGACCGAUAGUGAACCAGUACCGUGAGGGAAAGGCGAAAAGAACCCCGGCGAGGGGAGUGAAAAAGAACCUGAAACCGUGUACGUACAAGCAGUGGGAGCACCUUCGGGUGUGACUGCGUACCUUUUGUAUAAUGGGUCAGCGACUUAUAUUCUGUAGCAAGGUUAACCGUAUAGGGGAGCCGCAGGGAAACCGAGUCUUAACUGGGCGUUAAGUUGCAGGGUAUAGACCCGAAACCCGGUGAUCUAGCCAUGGGCAGGUUGAAGGUUGGGUAACACUAACUGGAGGACCGAACCGACUAAUGUUGAAAAAUUAGCGGAUGACUUGUGGCUGGGGGUGAAAGGCCAAUCAAACCGGGAGAUAGCUGGUUCUCCCCGAAAGCUAUUUAGGUAGCGCCUCGUGAAUUCAUCUUCGGGGGUAGAGCACUGUUUCGGCUAGGGGGUCAUCCCGACUUACCAACCCGAUGCAAACUACGAAUACCGAAGAAUGUUAUCACGGGAGACACACGGCGGGUGCUAACGUCCGUCGUGAAGAGGGAAACAACCCAGACCGCCAGCUAAGGUCCCAAAGUCAUGGUUAAGUGGGAAACGAUGUGGGAAGGCACAGACAGCCAGGAUGUUGGCUUAGAAGCAGCCAUCAUUUAAAGAAAGCGUAAUAGCUCACUGGUCGAGUCGGCCUGCGCGGAAGAUGUAACGGGGCUAAACCAUGCACCGAAGCUGCGGCAGCGACACUAUGUGUUGUUGGGUAGGGGAGCGUUCUGUAAGCCUGCGAAGGUGACCUGUGAGGGUUGCUGGAGGUAUCAGAAGUGCGAAUGCUGACAUAAGUAACGAUAAAGCGGGUGAAAAGCCCGCUCGCCGGAAGACCAAGGGUUCCUGUCCAACGUUAAUCGGGGCAGGGUGAGUCGACCCCUAAGGCGAGGCCGAAAGGCGUAGUCGAUGGGAAACAGGUUAAUAUUCCUGUACUUGGUGUUACUGCGAAGGGGGGACGGAGAAGGCUAUGUUAGCCGGGCGACGGUUGUCCCGGUUUAAGCAUGUAGGCUGGUUGUCCAGGCAAAUCCGGAUAAUCAAGGCUGAGGUGUGAUGACGAGGCACUACGGUGCUGAAGUAACAAAUGCCCUGCUUCCAGGAAAAGCCUCUAAGCAUCAGGUAACAUCAAAUCGUACCCCAAACCGACACAGGUGGUCAGGUAGAGAAUACCAAGGCGCUUGAGAGAACUCGGGUGAAGGAACUAGGCAAAAUGGUGCCGUAACUUCGGGAGAAGGCACGCUGGUGUGUAGGUGAAGCCCCUGCGGGUGGAGCUGAGACCAGUCGAAGAUACCAGCUGGCUGCAACUGUUUAUUAAAAACACAGCACUGUGCAAACACGAAAGUGGACGUAUACGGUGUGACGCCUGCCCGGUGCCGGAAGGUUAAUUGAUGGGGUUAUCCGUAAGGAGAAGCUCUUGAUCGAAGCCCCGGUAAACGGCGGCCGUAACUAUAACGGUCCUAAGGUAGCGAAAUUCCUUGUCGGGUAAGUUCCGACCUGCACGAAUGGCGUAAUGAUGGCCAGGCUGUCUCCACCCGAGACUCAGUGAAAUUGAACUCGCUGUGAAGAUGCAGUGUACCCGCGGCAAGACGGAAAGACCCCGUGAACCUUUACUAUAGCUUGACACUGAACAUUGAGCCUUGAUGUGUAGGAUAGGUGGGAGGCUUUGAAGCGUGGACGCCAGUCUGCGUGGAGCCAACCUUGAAAUACCACCCUUUAAUGUUUGAUGUUCUAACGUUGGCCCCUGACCGGGGUUGCGGACAGUGUCUGGUGGGUAGUUUGACUGGGGCGGUCUCCUCCCAAAGCGUAACGGAGGAGCACGAAGGUUAGCUAAUCCUGGUCGGACAUCAGGAGAUUAGUGCAAUGGCAUAAGCUAGCUUGACUGCGAGCGUGACGGCGCGAGCAGGUGCGAAAGCAGGUCAUAGUGAUCCGGUGGUUCUGAAUGGAAGGGCCAUCGCUCAACGGAUAAAAGGUACUCCGGGGAUAACAGGCUGAUACCGCCCAAGAGUUCAUAUCGACGGCGGUGUUUGGCACCUCGAUGUCGGCUCAUCACAUCCUGGGGCUGAAGUAGGUCCCAAGGGUAUGGCUGUUCGCCAUUUAAAGUGGUACGCGAGCUGGGUUUAGAACGUCGUGAGACAGUUCGGUCCCUAUCUGCCGUGGGCGCUGGAGAAUUGAGGGGGGCUGCUCCUAGUACGAGAGGACCGGAGUGGACGCAUCACUGGUGUUCGGGUUGUCAUGCCAAUGGCACUGCCCGGUAGCUAAAUGCGGAAGAGAUAAGUGCUGAAAGCAUCUAAGCACGAAACUUGCCCCGAGAUGAGUUCUCCCUGAGACUUUAAGUCUCCUGAAGGAACGUUGAAGACGACGACGUUGAUAGGCCGGGUGUGUAAGCGCAGCGAUGCGUUGAGCUAACCGGUACUAAUGAACCGUGAGGCUUAACCUU